UUAGAAUUGGUGUUGUAUCCUCCAGAGCGAUGGAGAAUUAGAGAGUGAAGAAGAAGGUGAUGGGGAUUGAGAGAGUUUUUCAGAUAUUUUUGGCAAGAUUCUGUUUUCCCAAGCUGACGAACACAUAUUCAUACAUGUUGAAGGCAAGUCUUUUGUGGUUGCGUUUGACCGCAAAUUUGUUAUGGUGUACAUGUUCCAGUAAUGAUGCAAGUUAGAUAUUUGGACGCAGUGAUGGCUAAAGAAAAGUUGACUCAU